AAACUAUUCUCUCCGUCCCAAAAUUAUUGUCUUAAGUUUAUCUAAAAAUGAAUGUAUCUAAAUACUAAACGUGACUANAUACAUUCAUAUCUGGACAAAUCUAAGACAAGAAUUUUAGGACGGAGAGAGUACAUA
rfam:Hordeum vulgare subsp. vulgare, WGS project CAJW01000000 data, contig: morex_contig_1605567